rnacentral:sRNA from 1 species
AUGACAUUGCUGAAAAUGAACAAUUCUUGGGUUUACUUUAGGGCUGAACAUUUGUAUUCACACUUUUUAGUUUAACCUAAUCAUUAUGUCAUGUCAUACAAUCAGCUUUAAAAAAUGCAUUAGCGAUAAGAGGGCGAUAGAUUUAAUGUCUAGCGCCUAAACCGCUAGACACCUAAAGCAUUUAUAAUAUAUAAU